CGCAGAUUUGAUGUUAAACGGCUCGUUCAGUGAAUCGCUGGCCGUUUCAGUGAUCAGCCGUGAAACAGUGAUUCUGUUCAAAUUCCCUUUAAAAUCUUAAAUGAUUCCCUUUGAGCUAAAUUGACCUGUUUCCCUUACAAAGUAAUACAACUUUUUAUUUUGCAGGUACUUGUCGAUCAUUGGAUUUGUCAUCAAUAUCGACACGUUGAUGCUGAUGAUUCCUGAACUGCUCCAAGUUCAGCGGUAUGUGCUCACCUACAGGUUCAGCCAGGAUCACUUGGAGCUCCUAUUUAAUUCAAUCAGAGCGUCAGGUAGGGGUUGUUGUUGUUCUUUUUAUUACAGUAAAUUCUGAAAAUAUACCUAAUUAAUAUCUUCGUCUUUUGAGUAAUGUAUGUAUUCUGUGCCUGUUUGCCAUACAAGGCAGCUGGAAUAACAAUCCAUCGGCAUGCCAGUUCCAGGCCAUCUUCCGCCGUCUGAUGGUUCGGUGUAGUGUCUCCCCUGGUGAGACAGGCAAUGUGGCAGCACAAGAUCACACUUGUCUGCUGUGGAGAUGUCAUCUGCUGAAACUGCUGAAGAGCACCCAUCUCCAUUCGCCAACAUUUCAGCCCUUGUGACCACAGUUAUCUCCCCACUCGGUUUGGUGGUCUGGUGGAAAAUUUUCUGGUCUACAUAGCAGGGUUUGUAGUCCGGCAGAUUCUUCGAAAGCUGUCCUGUGAUGUGUGCCGUGCUAGACCAGCAUCAUUUGACAAGAGCUACCACCUUCUAGCCCUGAAAAACAACAGAGGCCUAGUGAUUCCAUCACAAGGCACAGUGAAGGUGCUGAGAGCUGCAGAGAGGGUGAUCCGCCAAGCUUCAGCAAUACAAGCUCCUAAGCUGUCAACAGUCACACACAUUGUGCGGGAGGAGAUUGGGACAGAGGAUGUUUUCCUUCUUGGGGAGCACAUUGAGGAGACCCAGUUUGGCAUUGACAAUCAGUCUGAUUUGUUGUCAUUGGUUGUGUCCGUGUUUCUAAAGAUAAGGCUCCACCAUGUUGCCAAACUCGCCUCUCCUGAACUACGGAAAGGGAGCAUGAGAGAGAAGCUCUGCAAAACAGUCCUCUUUCAGGGGUUUUAGUGUGUGUGUGUGUGUGUGUGUGUGUGUGUGUGUGUGUGUGUGAGAGAGAGAGAGAGAGAGAGAGAGAGAAAAGAGUGUGUGUGAGAGAGAGAGAAAAGAGUGUGUGUCUGUGUGAGAGAGUGUGUAUAUCACAAAUCAUUAUAAAUUGUUUCUUCAACUUAUUAAAAUAUCUUAUUUUACUGCAACUAUGUAUUUCUGCUUCAUCAUAUUUAUAGUGUGUGAUUUAUAAAUUACAUUAUAUCCUACAUCACAUAUUUUGAUUUUGGACGUCUGGUCACUUUAUAUCUUACAUCAGAAUAUUAUAUAACUGUUAAGCCUACUAUGAAUAUUAAAAUACGCUGAACCAUGUGUCCUGUAUUAUAGCUACAUGAAUGACCUUUGCAGGAAAAAAACCCGCGUCAAAAUCAGUUAGGUAUUCAGUGAGAUAUGAUUAAUUAAAUGCGCUGACAGCUCAUUGCACCUGACAAACAAGUUACACUCAGUGAAGCUGGCGACCGAUCCAAGAUGGAUAUAGGUGAUGUCUAUGGCUGCAUCCGAAAACUGAAAGAUGCUGCCUUCGGAGAACGCAUUCCAAGGUAGGAAGGCAUCAAGGCACGUCCGAAUUCAAUGUUAGCUUCAGUUCCUGUCUCCUGAGAUGCCUUCAUCUUGGCG
ensembl:lncRNA